rnacentral:tmRNA from 1 species
GGGGGUGACAGGUUUCGACGUCGGACGUCGAUUCAGGGGAAGCGGGCCGAGGAGGCGACGUGAUCUCGUGAACCACCGUCGCAAACCAAUAGGUGCCGAUACCAAUCGCGCCAGCUACACCCUCGCCGCCUGAGCGAGUCAUGUAGCCGUCAGCCCGGGUGCGCCUCCGGCCCGGUGUCUGGCGUCGACUAGGAGGCCACUGCUCACGGACCCGGUCGCGGGGUCCGUGGGGACACCCACAGCGACUGAGCCCGGCUCGGCGACCCGCCUGCGUGAUCGCCGGGGCUGAGAAAAGCCGCAGCAGGCUGCGCCCGGAGAAGUCCUGAGUCCUCGCCGACGGACGCGGGUUCGAUUCCCGCCACCUCCACCA